rnacentral:rRNA from 1 species
UGACGGUAUCAUAUGAAUAAGCACCGGCUAACUCCGUGCCAGCAGCCGCGGUAAUACGGGGGGUGCAAGCGUUACUCGGAAUCACUGGGCGUAAAGAGCAUGUAGGCGGGUAAAUAAGUUGGAAGUGAAAUCCUAUAGCUUAACUAUAGAACUGCUUCCAAAACUGUUUACCUAGAGUAUGGGAGAGGUAGAUGGAAUUUCUGGUGUAAGGGGGUAAAAUCCGUAGAGAUCAGAAGGAAUACCGAUUGCGAAGGCGAUCUACUGGAACAUUACUGACGCUCAGAUGCGAAAGCGUGGGGAGCAAACAGGAUUAGAUACCCUGGUAGUCCACGCCCUAAACGAUGUACACUAGUUGUUGCUAUACUAGAUAUGGCAGUAAUGCAGUUAACACUUUAAGUGUACCGCCUGGGGGAGUACGGUCGCAAGAUUAAAACUCAAAGGAAUAGACGGGGACCCGCACAAGCGGUGGAGCAUGUGGUUUAAUUCGACGAUACGCGAAAACCUUACCUGGCCUUGACAUAGUAAGAACUUUCUAGAGAUAGAUUGGUGCUAGCUUGCUAGAACCUAUAUACAGGUGCUGCACGGCUGUCGUCAG